rnacentral:rRNA from 1 species
UGGGGGAUAUUGCACAAUGGAGGAAACUCUGAUGCAGCAAUGCCGCGUGAGGGAUGAAGGUUUUCGGAUUGUAAACCUCUGUCUUCAGGGACGAUAAUGACGGUACCUGACUAAGAAGCCCCGGCUAACUACGUGCCAGCAGCCGCGGUAAUACGAAGGGGGCAAGCGUUGUUCGGAAUUACUGGGCGUAAAGCGCACGCAGGCGGCGUGACGCGUCAGAAGUGAAAUCCCCGGGCUCAACCUGGGAACUGCUUUUGAAACGGUCAUGCUUGAAUCAUGGAGAGGGUAGCGGAAUUCCGAGUGUAGAGGUGAAAUUCGUAGAUAUUAGGAGGAACACCGGUGGCGAAGGCGGCUACCUGGCCAUGUAUUGACGCUCAGGUGCGAAAGCGUGGGGAGCAAACA